AGGCCGGUAGCAUAGGGGAUAAUGCGCUUCCAUCGGGUAGCCGUAGGAACAAUUGCCGGAAGAGAUGGGGUUCGAUCCCCCCUGGCGCUG
rnacentral:tRNA from 1 species